ACUUGGAGAUAGCUGGUUCUCUCCGAAAUAGCUUUAGGGCUAGCCUCAAGUGAUGAUUAUUGGAGGUAGAGCACUGUUUGGACGAGGGGCCCCUCUCGGGUUACCGAAUUCAGACAAACUCCGAAUGCCAAAUAAUUUAACUUGGGAGUCAGAAUGUGGGUGAUAAGGUCCAUAUUCGAAAGGGAAACAGCCCAGACCACCAGCUAAGGUCCCAAAAUAUAUGUUAAGUGGAAAAGGAUGUGGCGUUGCCCAGACAACUAGGAUGUUGGCUUAGAAGCAGCCAUCAUUUAAAGAGUGCGUAAUAGCUCACUAGUCGAGUGACACUGCGCCGAAAAUGUACCGGGGCUAAACAUAUUACCGAAGCUGUGGAUUGUCCUUUGGACAAUGGUAGGAGAGCGUUCUAAGGGCGUUGAAGCAUGAUCGCAAGGACAUGUGGAGCGCUUAGAAGUGAGAAUGCCGGUGUGAGUAGCGAAAGACGGGUGAGAAUCCCGUCCACCGAUUGACUAAGGUUUCCAGAGGAAGGCUCGUCCGCUCUGGGUUAGUCGGGUCCUAAGCUGAGGCCGACAGGCGUAGGCGAUGGAUAACAGGUUGAUAUUCCUGUACCACCAUUAUUCGUUUUAAGCGAUGGGGGGACGCAGUAGGAUAGGCGAAGCGUGCUGUUGGAGUGCACGUCCAAGCAGUGAGAUUGAGUGUUAGGCAAAUCCGGCACUCUUAAGAUUGAGCUGUGAUGGGGAGAGGAACUUGUUCCUCGAGUCGUUGAUUUCACACUGCCGAGAAAAGCCUCUAGCUAGAAUAACGGUGCCCGUACCGCAAACCGACACAGGUAGUCAAGAUGAGAAUUCUAAGGUGAGCGAGCGAACUCUCGUUAAGGAACUCGGCAAAAUGACCCCGUAACUUCGGGAGAAGGGGUGCUCUUUGAGGUUCACGCUUCGAAGAGCCGCAGUGAAUAGGCCCAAGCGACUGUUUAUCAAAAACACAGGUCUCUGCUAAACCGUAAGGUGACGUAUAGGGGCUGACGCCUGCCCGGUGCUGGAAGGUUAAGAGGAGUGGUUAGCGCAAGCGAAGCUACGAAUCGAAGCCCCAGUAAACGGCGGCCGUAACUAUAACGGUCCUAAGGUAGCGAAAUUCCUUGUCGGGUAAGUUCCGACCCGCACGAAAGGCGUAACGAUUUGGGCACUGUCUCAACGAGAGACUCGGUGAAAUCAUAGUACCGGUGAAGAUGCCGGUUACCCGCGACAGGACGGAAAGACCCCGUGGAGCUUUACUGUAGCCUGAUAUUGAAAUUCGGUACAGUUUGUACAGGAUAGGUAGGAGCCUUAGAAGCGUGAGCGCUAGCUUACGUGGAGGCAUUGGUGGGAUACUACCCUAAUUGUAUUGGAUUUCUAACCCGCAGCACUUAUCGUGCUGGGAGACAGUGUCAGGCGGGCAGUUUGACUGGGGCGGUCGCCUCCUAAAGAGUAACGGAGGCGCUCAAAGGUUCCCUCAGAAUGGUUGGAAAUCAUUCAUAGAGUGUAAAGGCAUAAGGGAGCUUGACUGCGAGACCUACAAGUCGAGCAGGGUCGAAAGACGGACUUAGUGAUCCGGUGGUUCCGCAUGGAAGGGCCAUCGCUCAACGGAUAAAAGCUACCCCGGGGAUAACAGGCUUAUCUCCCCCAAGAGUUCACAUCGACGGGGAGGUUUGGCACCUCGAUGUCGGCUCAUCGCAUCCUGGGGCUGUAGUCGGUCCCAAGGGUUGGGCUGUUCGCCCAUUAAAGCGGUACGCGAGCUGGGUUCAGAACGUCGUGAGACAGUUCGGUCCCUAUCCGUCGUGGGCGUAGGAAAUUUGAGAGGAGCUGUCCUUAGUACGAGAGGACCGGGAUGGACAUACCUCUGGUGUACCAGUUGUCGUGCCAACGGCAUAGCUGGGUAGCUAUGUAUGGACGGGAUAAGUGCUGAAAG
rnacentral:rRNA from 1 species